GAGUGUUCGGUUAAGUCCGCUAACGAGCGCAACCCUCGCUGUAUGUUACAUGUGUCAUACAGGACCGCCGGUAUCAAGCCGGAGGAAGGUGGGGAUGACGUCAAGUCCGCAUGGCCUUUAUGUCCGGGGCUACACACACGCUACAAUGGUCGGUACAAUGGGUUGCUAAGCCGCGAGGUGGAGCCAAUCCCCCAAAGCCGGCCUCAGUUCAGAUUGCAGGCUGCAACUCGCCUGCAUGAAGCUGGAGUUGCUAGUAAACGCGCGUCAGCUAUAGUGCGUUGAAUACGUUCUCGGGCCUU
rnacentral:rRNA from 1 species